rnacentral:rRNA from 1 species
CCUACGGGUGGCAGCAGUGAGGAAUAUUGGUCAAUGGACGGGAGUCUGAACCAGCCAAGUAGCGUGAAGGAUGACUGCCCUAUGGGUUGUAAACUUCUUUUAUAUGGGAAUAAAACGUUCCACGUGUGGGAUUUUGUAUGUACCAUAUGAAUAAGGAUCGGCUAACUCCGUGCCAGCAGCCGCGGUAAUACGGAGGAUCCGAGCGUUAUCCGGAUUUAUUGGGUUUAAAGGGAGCGUAGGUGGAUUGUUAAGUCAGUUGUGAAAGUUUGCGGCUCAACCGUAAAAUUGCAGUUGAAACUGGCAGUCUUGAGUACAGUAGAGGUGGGCGGAAUUCGUGGUGUAGCGGUGAAAUGCUUAGAUAUCACGAAGAACUCCGAUUGCGAAGGCAGUUCACUGGACUGCAACUGACACUGAGGCUCGAAAGUGUGGGUAUCAAACAGGAUUAGAUACCCCAGUAGUC